rnacentral:rRNA from 1 species
UGUUCCUACGGGGCGCAGCAGUGGGGAAUAUUGGGCAAUGGGCGCAAGCCUGACCCAGCAACGCCGCGUGCGGGACGAAGGCCCUCGGGCUGUAAACCGCUUUCAGCAGGGAAGACGUCGACGGUACCUGCAGAAGAAGCUCCGGCUAACUACGUGCCAGCAGCCGCGGUAAUACGUAGGGGGCGAGCGUUAUCCGGAUUCAUUGGGCGUAAAGCGCGCGUAGGCGGCCGCCUAAGCGGAACCUCUAACCCCGGGGCUCAACCUCGGGCCGGGUUCCGGACUGGGCGGCUCGAGUGCGGGAGAGG